UACGAAGGGGGCUAGCGUUGUUCGGAUUUACUGGGCGUAAAGCGCACGUAGGCGGCGUGUUAAGUCAGAGGUGAAAUCCUGGAGCUCAACUCCAGAACUGCCUUUGAUACUGGCAUGCUCGAGUAUAGGAGAGGUUGGUGGAACUGCGAGUGUAGAGGUGAAAUUCGUAGAUAUUCGCAAGAACACCAGUGGCGAAGGCGACCAACUGGCCUAUUACUGACGCUGAGGUGCGAAAGCGUGGGGAGCAAACAGG
rnacentral:rRNA from 1 species